rnacentral:rRNA from 1 species
GACGAACGCUGGCGGCGUGCUUAACACAUGCAAGUCGAACGGAAAGGCCCUGCUUUUGUGGGGUGCUCGAGUGGCGAACGGGUGAGUAACACGUGAGUAACCUGCCCUUGACUUUGGGAUAACUUCAGGAAACUGGGGCUAAUACCGGAUAGGAGCUCCUGCUGCACGGGGGGGGUGGGAAAGUUUCGGCGUUUGGGGAUGGACUCGCGGCUUAUCAGCUUGUUGGUGGGGUAGUGGGUUACCAAGGCUUUGACGGGUAGCCGGCCUGAGAGGGUGACCGGCCCCAUUGGGCCUGGGGUACGGCCCAGACUCCUACGGGAGGCAGCAGUGGGGAAUAUUGCGCAAUGGGCGGAAGCCUGAUGCAGCAACGCCGCGUGCGGGAUGACGGCCUUCGGGUUGUAAACCGCUUUCGCCUGUGACGAAGCGUGAGUGACGGUAAUGGGUAAAGAAGCACCGGCUAACUACGUG